GCUCUGUGAUGAACCCCAUGCGUGUCAUCUGAGCCUGGCUCCCUUGUCACAGCCCCAGGUAGUGUUCUACCACCUCGGGCUAUUGUCCAGCCUGGCAGGGGGCCCCAGGCAAAGGAUCAGUCUUUGUGUUCUGAGAGC